rnacentral:rRNA from 1 species
UACGGGGGAGCAAGCGUUGUUCGGAUUUACUGGGCGUAAAGGGCGCGUAGGCGGCCAGCACAAGUCAGUUGUGAAAUCUCCGAGCUUAACUCGGAAAGGUCAACUGAUACUGUGCGGCUAGAGUGCAGAAGGGGCAACUGGAAUUCUUGGUGUAGCGGUGAAAUGCGUAGAUAUCAAGAGGAACACCUGCGGCGAAGGCGGGUUGCUGGGCUGACACUGACUGAGGCGCGAAAGCUAGGGGAGCAAACAGG